UACGUAGGGCGCAAGCGUUAUCCGGAAUUAUUGGGCGUAAAGAGCUCGUAGGCGGUUUGUCGCGUCUGCCGUGAAAGUCCGGGGCUCAACUCCGGAUCUGCGGUGGGUACGGGCAGACUAGAGUGAUGUAGGGGAGACUGGAAUUCCUGGUGUAGCGGUGAAAUGCGCAGAUAUCAGGAGGAACACCGAUGGCGAAGGCGGCUCUCUGGGACGGUACUGACACUGAGACGCGAAAGCGUGGGGAGCGAACAGG
rnacentral:rRNA from 1 species